UAAUACAUGCAAGUCGAACGAGUUCUCGUUGAUGAUCGGUGCUUGCACCGAGAUUCAACAUGGAACGAGUGGCGGACGGGUGAGUAACACGUGGGUAACCUGCCCUUAAGUGGGGGAUAACAUUUGGAAACAGAUGCUAAUACCGCAUAGAUCCAAGAACCGCAUGGUUCUUGGCUGAAAGAUGGCGUAAGCUAUCGCUUUUGGAUGGACCCGCGGCGUAUUAGCUAGUUGGUGAGGUAAUGGCUCACCAAGGCGAUGAUACGUAGCCGAACUGAGAGGUUGAUCGGCCACAUUGGGACUGAGACACGGCCCAAACUCCUACGGGAGGCAGCAGUAGGGAAUCUUCCACAAUGGACGCAAGUCUGAUGGAGCAACGCCGCGUGAGUGAAGAAGGCUUUCGGGUCGUAAAACUCUGUUGUUGGAGAAGAAUGGUCGGCAGAGUAACUGUUGUCGGCGUGACGGUAUCCAACCAGAAAGCCACGGCUAACUACGUGCCAGCAGCCGCGGUAAUACGUAGGUGGCAAGCGUUAUCCGGAUUUAUUGGGCGUAAAGCGAGCGCAGGCGGUUUUUUAAGUCUGAUGUGAAAGCCCUCGGCUUAACCGAGGAAGCGCAUCGGAAACUGGGAAACUUGAGUGCAGAAGAGGACAGUGGAACUCCAUGUGUAGCGGUGAAAUGCGUAGAUAUAUGGAAGAACACCAGUGGCGAAGGCGGCUGUCUGGUCUGUAACUGACGCUGAGGCUCGAAAGCAUGGGUAGCGAACAGGAUUAGAUACCCUGGUAGUCCAUGCCGUAAACGAUGAAUGCUAGGUGUUGGAGGGUUUCCGCCCUUCAGUGCCGCAGCUAACGCAUUAAGCAUUCCGCCUGGGGAGUACGACCGCAAGGUUGAAACUCAAAGGAAUUGACGGGGGCCCGCACAAGCGGUGGAGCAUGUGGUUUAAUUCGAAGCAACGCGAAGAACCUUACCAGGUCUUGACAUCUUUUGAUCACCUGAGAGAUCAGGUUUCCCCUUCGGGGGCAAAAUGACAGGUGGUGCAUGGUUGUCGUCAGCUCGUGUCGUGAGAUGUUGGGUUAAGUCCCGCAACGAGCGCAACCCUUAUGACUAGUUGCCAGCAUUUAGUUGGGCACUCUAGUAAGACUGCCGGUGACAAACCGGAGGAAGGUGGGGAUGACGUCAAAUCAUCAUGCCCCUUAUGACCUGGGCUACACACGUGCUACAAUGGAUGGUACAACGAGUUGCGAGACCGCGAGGUCAAGCUAAUCUCUUAAAGCCAUUCUCAGUUCGGACUGUAGGCUGCAACUCGCCUACACGAAGUCGGAAUCGCUAGUAAUCGCGGAUCAGCACGCCGCGGUGAAUACGUUCCCGGGCCUUGUACACACCGCCCGUCACACCAUGAGAGUUUGUAACACCCGAAGCCGGUGGCGUAACCCUUUUAGGGAGCGAGCCGUCUAAGGUGGGACAAAUGAUUAGGGUGAAGUCGUAACAAGGU
rnacentral:rRNA from 1 species